GCCUCUGUAGCUCAGUUGGGUAGAGGGCUGCUCCGGAAUCGCAGGGCCGUAGGUUCGAUUCCUACCAGAGGAC
rnacentral:tRNA from 1 species